GAUGAAGAACGUAGUGAAAUGCGAUAAGUAAUGUGAAUUGCAGAAUUCAGUGAAUCAUCGAAUCUUUGAACGCACAUUGCGCCCCUUGGUAUUCCGGGGGGCAUGCCUGUUCGAGCGUCAUUUCAACCCUCAAGCUCAGCUUGGUAUUGAGUCCAUGUCAGUAAUGGCAGGCUCUAAAAUCAGUGGCGGCGCCGCUGGGUCCUGAACGUAGUAAUAUCUCUCGUUACAGGUUCUCGGUGUGCUUCUGCCAAAACCCAAAUUUUCUAUGGUUGACCUCGGAUCAGGUAGGGAUACCCGCUGAACUUAAGCAUAUCAAUAAGCGAGGA
rnacentral:misc_RNA from 1 species